rnacentral:rRNA from 1 species
AUGGCGCCCGCCGGUAAUCCGGCGGGCAUGCCUGUCCGAGCGUCAUUUCAACCCUCAGAACCCCCCUCUCUCGGGAGGACGUUACUGGUGUUGGGGAACGAGCGCCCCCCGCGGCGCCCGUCCCUUAAAUCUAUUGGCGGCUCCGGAGUCUGUCUCCCCUGC